UAAACCGUGCAUGCCUGGUCCUAACAUGCGGACUCAUCUGCGCAGCUGCUAUGGCGAACGUUUCCAGUUGGAAGAUUUUGGUAGUUUACGCCACAUUAGUGUUCCUUUUGUCCACGAUGCAAGGAGAAGGUCGUUCAUCUUUUCUUGCAGAAAAACAUCGUGUACAAGUUGAAGAAAGAGUUUUCGUGUAUCGGCCUCCUACUACUACUCGUCGACCACCUUCAUCAACACAUCGUUACGUAUUCAAUGGUCCUAGAGGCUAGUGCCACUUCCUGUUGUCCAUGAAAGCAGUGACAAGAGGCGAGAGGAACACCGACGAAAUGCCGUAGUUUGUUCUAACGGAUCAGAGAACACAGCAUCAACGAGAUUUCCAGUGUCCAGCCUGGGACAUUGCAGACAAAAGAGGCCAGAAGACAAAGCACACUGUGCGAACGUGUUUUACGAACUCAAAUUGAAGCGGAACGAAGUUGGAGUAUCUUGAAGCACUGCCAAGCAAGUAAUGUUGCUACCACAUAGGAUCAAAAACGGUGGAACCUCUGCAAGUAUUUAGGCGGCGGAACAAGCAAUCCAAUAAUGGGC